CACAAUGCAUUCUGACCGGGAGGA
rnacentral:piRNA from 1 species